GGCCGUCGUGUCGAGCCUGGUGAACGGGUCCACGUUCGUGCUACAGAAGAAGGGCAUCGUGCGUGCCAAGCGGCGAGGUACUUCCUAUUUAACAGACAUUGUGUGGUGGGCUGGCACAAUCGCAAGUAAGUAGCCUGUGUGGCGAAGUCUGGUCUUUUCCUUUCUUAGAAUCCAUCACUGGUCUGGGCAGGGCUGGAGCGGCUGGACUAGGGUGGCUCUGUUCUUUGGAAGAGGGUGUCGCGUGGCCUCUCCCCAGGCCCUAAGCGUGCCUUUCAGUUCAGAUGUCCCUGCCUCCCCAGGGCACUCUCCCUGCUCCCCUUCCUCCCAGGAUGAGAGUGCAGAAGGACAAGUUAGGAGCUGGUGGAGGCCCCUGCU
rnacentral:sRNA from 1 species